rnacentral:rRNA from 1 species
UACGUAGGGCGCAAGCGUUUGUCCGGAAUUAUUGGGCGUAAAGAGCUCGUAGGCGGUCUGUCGCGUCGGCUGUGAAAGCCCGGGGCUCAACCCCGGGUCUGCAGUCGAUACGGGCAGGCUAGAGUGCGGUAGGGGAGACUGGAAUUCCUGGUGUAGCGGUGAAAUGCGCAGAUAUCAGGAGGAACACCGGUGGUGUAAACGGCUUUCUGGACCAUAACUGACGCUGAGGCACGAAAGCGUGGGUAGCAAACAGG